UACGUAGGGGGCAAGCGUUGUCCGGAUUUAUUGGGUUUAAAGGGUGCGUAGGUGGUCUAUUAAGUCAGUGCUGAAAUAUCCCGGCUUAACCGGGAGGGUGGCAUUGAUACUGAUGGACUUGAGUGAAGUCGAGGUAGGCGGAAUUGACGGUGUAGCGGUGAAAUGCUUAGAUAUCGUCAAGAACACCGAUAGUGUAGACAGCUUACUAGGCUUUAACUGACACUGAGGAACGAAAGUGUGGGGAUCAAACAGG
rnacentral:rRNA from 1 species